GACGAACGCUGGCGGCGUGCCUAAUACACGCAAGUAGAACGCUGAAGGAGGAGCUUGCUUCUCUGGAUGAGUUGCGAACGGGUGAGUAACGCGUAGGUAACCUGCCUGGUAGCGGGGGAUAACUAUUGGAAACGAUAGCUAAUACCGCAUAACAGUAGAUAUCGCAUGAUAUCUACUUGAAAGGUGCAAUUGCAUCACUACCAGAUGGACCUGCGUUGUAUUAGCUAGUUGGUGAGGUAACGGCUCACCAAGGCGACGAUACAUAGCCGACCUGAGAGGGUGAUCGGCCACACUGGGACUGAGACACGGCCCAGACUCCUACGGGAGGCAGCAGUAGGGAAUCUUCGGCAAUGGACGGAAGUCUGACCGAGCAACGCCGCGUGAGUGAAGAAGGUUUUCGGAUCGUAAAGCUCUGUUGUAAGAGAAGAACGAGUGUGAGAGUGGAAAGUUCACACUGUGACGGUAUCCUACCAGAAAGGGACGGCUAACUACGUG
rnacentral:rRNA from 1 species